UGGGGAAUUUUGCGCAAUGGGGGAAACCCUGACGCAGCAACGCCGCGUGGAGGAUGAAGCCCCUUGGGGCGUAAACUCCUUUCGACCAAGACGAUAAUGACGGUACUGGUGGAAGAAGCACCGGCUAACUCUGUGCCAG
rnacentral:rRNA from 1 species